rfam:Salmo salar isolate Sally breed double haploid chromosome ssa17, whole genome shotgun sequence.
CCCUGUGGCUCAGUUGGUAGAGCAUGGUGUUUGCAACGCCUGCAUGGUGUGUGCAACGCCAGGGUUGUGGGUUCGAUUCCCACAGGGG